rnacentral:rRNA from 1 species
GAUGAACGCUGGCGGCGUGCCUAAUACAUGCAAGUCGAGCGAACAGACAAGGAGCUUGCUCCUUUGACGUUAGCGGCGGACGGGUGAGUAACACGUGGGUAACCUACCUAUAAGACUGGGAUAACUUCGGGAAACCGGAGCUAAUACCGGAUAAUAUUUCGAACCGCAUGGUUCGAUAGUGAAAGAUGGUUUUGCUAUCACUUAUAGAUGGACCCGCGCCGUAUUAGCUAGUUGGUAAGGUAACGGCUUACCAAGGCGACGAUACGUAGCCGACCUGAGAGGGUGAUCGGCCACACUGGAACUGAGACACGGUCCAGACUCCUACGGGAGGCAGCAGUAGGGAAUCUUCCGCAAUGGGCGAAAGCCUGACGGAGCAACGCCGCGUGAGUGAUGAAGGUCUUCGGAUCGUAAAACUCUGUUAUUAGGGAAGAACAUACAUGUAAGUAACUAUGCACGUCUUGACGGUACCUAAUCAGAAAGCCACGGCUAACUACGUGCCAGCAGCCGCGGUAAUACGUAGGUGGCAAGCGUUAUCCGGAAUUAUUGGGCGUAAAGCGCGCGUAGGCGGUUUUUUAAGUCUGAUGUGAAAGCCCACGGCUCAACCGUGGAGGGUCAUUGGAAACUGGAAAACUUGAGUGCAGAAGAGGAAAGUGGAAUUCCAUGUGUAGCGGUGAAAUGCGCAGAGAUAUGGAGGAACACCAGUGGCGAGGGCGACUUUCUGGUCUGUAACUGACGCUGAUGUGCGAAAGCGUGGGGAUCAAACAGGAUUAGAUACCCUGGUAGUCCACGCCGUAAACGAUGAGUGCUAAGUGUUAGGGGGUUUCCGCCCCUUAGUGCUGCAGCUAACGCAUUAAGCACUCCGCCUGGGGAGUACGACCGCAAGGUUGAAACUCAAAGGAAUUGACGGGGACCCGCACAAGCGGUGGAGCAUGUGGUUUAAUUCGAAGCAACGCGAAGAACCUUACCAAAUCUUGACAUCCUUUGACAACUCUAGAGAUAGAGCCUUCCCCUUCGGGGGACAAAGUGACAGGUGGUGCAUGGUUGUCGUCAGCUCGUGUCGUGAGAUGUUGGGUUAAGUCCCGCAACGAGCGCAACCCUUAAGCUUAGUUGCCAUCAUUAAGUUGGGCACUCUAAGUUGACUGCCGGUGACAAACCGGAGGAAGGUGGGGAUGACGUCAAAUCAUCAUGCCCCUUAUGAUUUGGGCUACACACGUGCUACAAUGGACAAUACAAAGGGCAGCGAAACCGCGAGGUCAAGCAAAUCCCAUAAAGUUGUUCUCAGUUCGGAUUGUAGUCUGCAACUCGACUACAUGAAGCUGGAAUCGCUAGUAAUCGUAGAUCAGCAUGCUACGGUGAAUACGUUCCCGGGUCU